UACGUAGGUGGCGAGCGUUGUCCGGAUUUACUGGGCGUAAAGGGAGCGUAGGCGGACUUUUAAGUGAGAUGUGAAAUACUCGGGCUCAACUUGAGUGCUGCAUUUCAAACUGGAAGUCUAGAGUGCAGGAGAGGAGAAUGGAAUUCCUAGUGUAGCGGUGAAAUGCGUAGAGAUUUGGAAGAACACCAGUGGCGAAGGCGAUUCUCUGGACUGUAACUGACGCUGAGGCUCGAAAGCGUGGGGAGCAAACAGG
rnacentral:rRNA from 1 species